rnacentral:lncRNA from 1 species
UCGGCACACUAUCAAAUAAUUAGAAAAAACACGUGAAAUUUGACAAAUAAUUUGGUCACAGGGCCCUUUAGCAUUCGGGCCGCAUAAAAAACGCUAGAGGGCCGCAGGUUGAGUAUCACUAGUCGAUCUGUUUUUCUGCUUUUUCUCAGACUCUUUUUAUAUCUUUCUAUAUUCUUCUUUGUUUCUGUUCCGUUUCUCUGUGUCUUUAUAUACUUCUAGAUAGAUUAGGUUUUUUACAUACCUACUACAUACUGUAUAAAUUUGCUGAUGUAAAUCAAAACUUAUUAUUGCACGCCUUAUUUUUGAUACUGUCAACAAAUCAACACUAAAUGUUUAUGUGACUGUGAAUAAAUAUUUUAUACUUUGUCCGGUGGCUUGUUGUUCAUCACAUAUACAUUCAUGUUAUAUUAUAAUAAAGAAAUUCGUCGUUA